CCAACACUACUAGGAAAUUCCAUCUUACUCGAUUGUUUCUUGGGGAUAUUUGGUAUUUUUCUUUGAUACUUUAUUGUUUUUCAUUAUUUUGAUGUUAUCUGAGGACUCAUAUACAUAUCAGGAACUGUACAAGCUUUGGGACAGAAGCAGGAGGCUCUAGGAUCUGAUUUCAUUGUGAUUUUCAUCAUGGUCUUUGGUAGGAUUAUUCCCAUUCCCCCCAUGUGGUGGUUUACUUGGAGAUUCGUCUUUCCCCCAGAACGUUGUUUAAUGUUGGUGGAUCUUGGAGGAUCUUGUUUAUCAUAUUUUUAUGGUAUUUCCUUAAUAUCACACCUAUUAAAAUAUAAUCUUUUAUUUUAGGCAACCUUCUGAGCAAGGAGAGCUACUACGGAAGACUAGGACUUAGGGCAUGGGAUUACUUCUAAUUAAAAUCUGGAACCAUCAGGAACAUAUCAACGACAUCUGUCUCCCGUCUUAGCAUCCUUGUGGUUAGCUUGGAGCUGGAUUAUAAUCCGAAUCAUUUAAGAAGUAUGCAGGAAACAGUUUAGUUUUGAGCCAGAGGUUUUAGACAACUCAUGUAACCUUGAUUCUAGACCAAUUGGCUUUAUUUCAGAGCUUCUUUUGGGAUCUUAAUGUAAUAUACCAUCUUUAAAGAAGUCUUGCUAAGUACCACCAUGAAGUUUAGAUCAUAGAGCUCCCCAAAAAUGCUCCACAGAGUCCUCCGCAGUUUCCACACAGUCAGGACCUCCCCAAUGGAACUAUAGACCUGCUGUUAACCGGAUAUUACGGAGACUUUGACCCACAAGCCCAUGGAAACCCAAAACCCAGGACAGCUUUUGAUCUUAUUGCAUUUAUGUGAUCGUAUCAGCUGCCAAACACUUUUCACAGCUGAACAACUGCCGGCGUCGUCAUCUGGUCCUAAUCCUUGGGCCAAAACGCCCGGCCAUGGCAGGGCAGGCAUGAAUAUCCUUGUAAAUGAAAACAUUUGUUGCCAUUUUCUAUCGGCGGCCAGCCAUCUAGGCAAUUUUGUCGACAGAUUAAAAUGCGGCCAAAAAUGAAAAACUAAAAACUAAAAACCGGCGAGGAAAUCAAAAAUAGGGAUUUAUUUUGCUUAUCAGCGAUGAGAAUUUGAGGCGGCGCUGCGAAAAGGACAACAAGGACUCGAUGAAUUUGUCACAUUAACCGAGGGCCGAGGGCAUGUAGUUGCGAUAAGAUCAGCUCAUCCGAUCGACAGAAUUUGGCUACUGUUUCGGUGGUGAUUUCCCUUCAUAUUUUCGCCGAUUGGCGAGAUGGCAGUGGCAGUGGCCGUGGCAGUGGUGGUGUGUAAUUGGCAGGAUAUUAGCAGGGGUUGAUCUCGCUGCUCAUGCUGUUGAUGUCCUGCCAGCGGUCCAGUCAACGGAUUACGUCGGGCAUUAUGAGCAAAUUAAGUGUGAAGUGGCAUUUGGGACUCAGGACUCGGGACUCGGGACUCGUUCGAAAGCCUAAGCGCUUUAAAAUCGAGGGAAAAUGGAAAAACUAACAACGAAAAUGUUGACAAAAGGUGUCACAUGUCAAGCACUUGGCAAGGGCUCGGCCAGGACCUUCCAGUGACCCUCCCCUUCGGGGGAAAAUCUCUCUCGGAAUCGCAUCAAAAGGAAGCAAACACAAUCGGAAUAAAAAUGAAAAACAAACUAACAUUUAACCCCAUAGUGCCCUUCUUUGCACUGCCCUGCCCCAUCACGAAAUCCACCCACUCAGAAGCCGAAAGCUUAUCAUUUACACUUAACGGUUUACGCAGGAGGCACGUGCCGGUGCAUUAUUAACCGCAAAAUGCUCAUAAAGGAUCAAUUUGUGCGCACACGUGUCCAGGAUAAUGCCCGAGAACGGUGGGUGCCGGCGGGACGAAGCGUGAAGUGCACAUAAAUCAAAGCAGCGGCUGCCAAAUGGACAAAGAUGAUGACAAGCCGGAGGAGGAAUGGAUAGUGGAGGAUAGGACACCGCUCAGGACACCGCACAGGACUGCAGGCACUGCGAAGGAAAUGCAAUUUAAAGCGGCGGGCCCAUCGAGAAAAGGAAGCCAUUAGAAAUGCAAAAAGGAUCUGCGGCACGGGUGUGUGAAACGCCGGAAGCCCUGAAGAUUUAUGUCCGAGAAUCCUGCCGCAAGGAUACGCCUAUUAGGAAGCUAUUCCGCAAGCCAAAUGCCAAAUAGAUUUUAAUUAGAAGUGGGAUGCGAUUUAGUGGGAAAGUAAUCUAUAAAUUGUUCUAUAAAUUAAUUCAAGAAAUUGUAGCUAAGAACUAUGUGAUAGAAAGUGGGGUUGGAAGAUGUCCUUAAGAGUCCCUUAUCUUAUGUAUUUAUAUCUUAUGGAUUUCUUAUAGAAUAUCCCUUAUUUUCCCACAUCUAUCUCAUCCUUAAACUCCUUUAUUUAUCUUCUAAAAGAGCUACUGAACUUUGAUAUUUUCCCAUUGAUUUCUCAACUAAUUUUGAAGAUAAUUUCAUAUGAAAGUAUCUAUAAGAUAGCAUUGCUGUUGGCUGUGAGGCUUAUGUUUUUACCAUUUCAUGGCAAUUUGCAAUUUCCAAUUAUAACGCAAUCCGAUUGCGUGCCACAAAUGACAAGCUUUUACGAAUUCGCGAUGCGAUCCCUUGAAAUUAUGAUUUCAUAUGCGAUUGGAGGACGUCCUGGAAGGGAGAGCAAGGAACUGUGCACCCACACGGGAAGGAGCUGGCCAGGACAGGACUGGACAGGAAAUCAAGCGAAUGAUGAGCCAAAAUUAUGCCCUGACCUGACCACAUCCUAACCAAUUAUGGUCAUUAAAUUGGCAUUUGAAAUUCAGAGAGCCGAAGGAGUCGAGCGAACAAAUUCCAGUCUGUUCGACUAUUUAAUUUCGAUUUAAUUCGGCGGGCCGGCGGUUCUGUACUCCCCUGCUCCCUGUUCCCUGUUCCCUGCUCAGUGGAGCAGAAUGUGAAU